rnacentral:rRNA from 1 species
GAUGAACGCUGGCGGCGUGCCUAAUACAUGCAAGUCGAGCGAACAGACGAGGAUCUUGCUCCUCUUACGUUAGCGGCGGACGGGUGAGUAACACGUGGAUAACCUACCUAUAAGACUGGGAUCACUUCGCGAAACCGGAUCUCAUACCGGAUCAUAUAUUGAACCGCAUGGUUCAAUAGUGAAAGACGGUUUUGCUGUCACUUAUAGAUGGAUCCGCGCCGCAUUAGCUAGUUGGUAAGGUAACGGCUUACCAAGGCAACGAUGCGUAGCCGACCUGAGAGGGUGAUCGGCCACACUGGAACUGAGACACGGUCCAGACUCCUACGGGAGGCAGCAGUAGGGAAUCUUCGGCAAUGGGCGAAAGCCUGACGGAGCAACGCCGCGUGAGUGAUGAAGGUCUUCGGAUCGUAAAACUCUGUUAUUAGGGAAGAACAAAUGUGUAAGUAAAUAUGCACGUCUUGACGGUACCUAAUCAAAAAGCAACGGCUAACUACGUG